AAAUAGUACUUUGCAGAGAGAGUUAACAGGGCGUGAAACCGUUAAUUAGGCAAACGAAUCGGAGCCACGAAGUCGUUUCGCUGAUAGUUGGACCAGGUUCAAUUAAAGUUAGUUUAGCUUUAAUGCAUUCUUUAGGUUCGACCAUAUCUUUGUAAGCGUACACUGCAACCAGUUAGACAAUUGCCAAUGGGCCCAGUUGAUGCUCUAGAUAGUAGUAGUUUUGCUCCGCCUUGUGUGGAUGUCUGAACUAUUAAUCUAGUAGCAAGUGAACUAUUGACAAAUACUGACUGGCACAAUGAAAAUCGCCAUCGGCGUUUCCAUAGAAAGCAGCAGACAACACUAAUUAUUACAUGGUUAACCCAUGAGUUUUAAGAUCAAUAUUUUGUAUAGAUUAGAUAAAUAGAGGAUACUGCCAAUGGGGCAACUCUUGGUGUACGUAUUUGCAUGUCUAGUCGGGUAUUGGCUUUGCUUAUGGUUGUUUAAUUAUGAGACGAUUGAUGGUUAGUGUUAGUGUGUUUGCAAUUGAUUGGCAGUGAGUAGGUCGGCUUUCCGAACGACCCGUCUUGAAACACGGACCAAGGAGUCUAAUUAAGUAUCGAGUCGAUCGGUCUUGAAUAGGCCAGUACGUAAUAAGCAUGCUUAUCGAAGGCGAAGAGACGAUCAUGUGAUUUUUGGGCCAAUUCAGGUCCUAAACGCAACAUGUGCCUGCUCGUAUGCCAUUGAUAGGUAGGUUAUUUGUUAGCUUAUCAUGGCGGGCGGAGUAAAGAGAUACUUGAUUGGUACCCGAAAGAUGGUGAGCUUGGGCAAAUUGAAGCCAGAGGAAACUCUGGUGGAGGAUUGUAGCGAUUCUGACGUGCAAUCGAUCGUCAGACCUGAGUAUAGGGGCGAAAGACUAAUCGA
rnacentral:rRNA from 1 species